AAAUCUUAAGGCGCUGUGAUUAGCUAAGUUUCCUUCUCUCUUGCACAUUCUAACAUUUUCAAUGAUUGUGAAAGAUUUUUUAUAAUAUGU